rnacentral:rRNA from 1 species
UACGAAGGGGGCUAGCGUUGUUCGGAAUUACUGGGCGUAAAGGGCGCGUAGGCGGUCCCUCAAGUCAGGCGUGAAAGCCCCGGGCUCAACCUGGGAACCGCGCUUGAGACUGGCGGGCUAGAGUUCGGGAGAGGAUGGUGGAAUUCCCAGUGUAGAGGUGAAAUUCGUAGAUAUUGGGAAGAACACCGAUGGCGAAGGCAGCCAUCUGGACCGACACUGACGCUGAGGCGCGAAAGCGUGGGGAGCAAACAGG